GGCGGGAGUAACUAUGACUCUCUUAAGGUAGCCAAAUGCCUCGUCAUUUAAUUGGUGACGCGCAUGAAUGGAUCAACGAGAUUCCCACUGUCCCUACU
rnacentral:rRNA from 1 species